UACGUAGGGGGCGAGCGUUGUCCGGAAUCAUUGGGCGUAAAGAGCGCGUAGGCGGCCCGACAAGUCCGCUGUGAAAGUCAGGGGCUCAACCCUUGAAUGCCGGUGGAUACUGUCGGGCUAGAGUCCGGAAGAGGCGAGUGGAAUUCCUGGUGUAGCGGUGAAAUGCGCAGAUAUCAGGAGGAACACCGAUGGCGAAGGCAGCUCGCUGGGACGGUACUGACGCUGAGGCGCGAAAGCCAGGGGAGCAAACGGG
rnacentral:rRNA from 1 species